UACGUAGGGUGCGAGCGUUGUCCGGAAUUAUUGGGCGUAAAGAGCUCGUAGGCGGUGUGUCGCGUCGGCCGUGAAAACCUGGGGCUCAACUCUGGGCGUGCGGUCGAUACGGGCAUCACUUGAGUUCGGCAGGGGAGACUGGAAUUCCUGGUGUAGCGGUGAAAUGCGCAGAUAUCAGAAGGAACACCGGUGGCGAAGGCGGGUCUCUGGGCCGAUACUGACGCUGAGGAGCGAAAGCAUGGGUAGCGAACAGG
rnacentral:rRNA from 1 species